rnacentral:rRNA from 1 species
AUUGAACGCUGGCGGCAUGCCUUACACAUGCAAGUCGAACGGUAACGGGCCUUCGGGUGCCGACGAGUGGCGAACGGGUGAGUAAUACAUCGGAACGUGCCCGAUCGUGGGGGAUAACGAGGCGAAAGCUUUUCUAAUACCGCAUACGAUCUACGGAUGAAAGCAGGGGACCGCAAGGCCUUGCGCGGACGGAGCGGCCGAUGGCAGACUAGGUAGUUGGUGGGAUAAAAGCUUACCAAGCCGACGAUCUGUAGCUGGUCUGAGAGGAUGAUCAGCCACACUGGGACUGAGACACGGCCCAGACCCCUACGGGAGGCAGCAGUGGGGAAUUUUGGACAAUGGGCGCAAGCCUGAUCCAGCCAUGCCGCGUGCAGGGUGAAGGCCUUCGGGUUGUAAACUGCUUUUGUACGGAACGAAAAGCCUUCUUUUAAUACAGGAGGGUCAUGACGGUACCGUAAGAAUAAGCACCGGCUAACUACGUG